rfam:Capsicum annuum cultivar Zunla-1 chromosome 3, whole genome shotgun sequence
UCUGCAAGUGAUGAUAAAACAGACAGGGACAUCAGAACCCAUAGGGUUAUUAUUAUGAUGAUUUGUCGAUGGGAAUAUCUCUGAUGCACC